rnacentral:rRNA from 1 species
GACUGAAGUUCUUGAAGCCGCAAGGCGGAUGGAAUGGAUGACUGAAUGUCUAGCGGCAAACGGGUGAGUAACGCGUGGGUAACUUGCCCUCGAGUGGGGGAUAACGACCCGAAAGGGUCGCUAAUACCGCAUAAGCCCCCGGCUCCGCAAGGAGCUGUGGGAAAAGCCGGGGAUCCGUAAGGACCUGGCACUUGAGGAUAGGCCCGCGUCCCAUCAGCUAGUUGGUAGGGUAAUGGCCUACCAAGGCUUGGACGGGUAGCUGGCCUGAGAGGGUGGUCAGCCACACUGGGACUGAGACACUGCCCAGACUCCUACGGGAGGCUGCAGUCGAGGAUAUUUUCCAAUGGGCGAAAGCCUGAGAAUGCGACGCCGCGUGUAGGAUGAAGGCCUUCGGGUCGUAAACUAC